GGAAUGCUGUGAUUGAAGGAGCCAGUCAACUGUAAAACCUUCAAGGCAGCCCCUAGCCUAGAAACAAUCUGUGAAGUCCAAGAUGUGCCGGCCCACAGGGCUGGGUUCCUGCUGUGUUUCAGACUUGAAGGAGGAUCCCAGAGGGAUUACACACAGGGAAUAUCUGAGAGGUCAGAUGUGGGAUUCCAUAGAGAAAGCUUGAGACCGCCAGCCUCUCAUCUCCUGCCUGGAAAAGUGAGCCUUUGUGAAGACCUGACUUACCAUGUACAACUGUGAUUGUGACUGUUGUUGAGUAAACCUCCAGACUUU
rnacentral:lncRNA from 1 species